rnacentral:misc_RNA from 1 species
GUAGGUGAACCUGCGGAAGGAUCAUUACAGAGUUCAUGCCCUUCGGGGUAGAUCUCCCACCCUUGUGUAUCAUCAUCAAAUGUUGCUUUGGCGGGCCGCAAGCCUGGCUUGCCCGGAUUCGCGUCCGGCGUGCCCGCCAGAGAACCCCAAACUCUGAAUGUUAGUGUCGUCUGAGUACUAUUAAAUAGUUAAAACUUUCAACAACGGAUCUCUUGGUUCUGGCAUCGAUGAAGAACGCAGCAUCUGACUG